AGAAGCUGAUCAUCUAUCUCUCAAGAUGUAUUAAAGCUUUACUGCAGAAGGAUCCGAGUGUCCUGCGUCGUUCUUGCUGGCGAGACAGUAGCGCAGGACAUGACAGGACCAGUUCUUGUGAUGAUGCCAUGCUGGUCUGGAACUCCUGAGUAUAAGCUUUGGGCAGUGAAACACGAUCCACCAAACUCAACAAACCCACAUGGAGUUCAUUGGGAAAGGGAACGAAGUGUGGUUGUUAACAUAUCAUGAGCAAAAAUGGAAAGAGAGAGAACAGACAGAAGGUGCUUGCUCAUAAAUGGAAAAGGAAAAGGAGUGAUUUAGAACGAUGCUCAGCAGUUUGGGAUCUUGAAACUGGAGUCAUGGAGCUGCCCUUGGCCCUUAUACAGCCACUUAAAGCAUGUACAAUGCAGCCAUGCAAACUUUGACAGCCUUUGAGCUGUCAGCGAGGAGCAAUCACCUAUCAAAGACAGAUCCUGGGGUGAGGGAAGGUCACCUGGAGAAGAUCAGAUAAGAUUUAUCCCAGGACUGGGAGGGAACCCGAGGAUUAGAGGCCCCUAGACCAGGAAAGACUCCCUAAGGAGAAGGCACAGGCCCUGGAGAGGACUGGUGUGGAGUGACAGGUGGGUGCUCAGGAGAAACCACGUGGCUGAGAGAAGGAGAGGAGUCAGGAGCAGGAACAAGGCCAAGUUGCCCAGGACCUGGGUAGAGGGAGAAACCAGGAGAUCAGUACUACCUUUUCUGUGUGCUAUUAUUUCCUUUGCUACCUACAAAAUAUUUGCAUUAAAAAAAGUUAUAAAGGACACUAACUGUGGUGUGAUGGUGCAGGCCUUUACUCCCAACCCUCGGGAGGCAGAAGUAGUUUUCGGACUUUGAGGCCAGCUUGGUCUACAGAAUAACUUCCAGGAAAGCCUAGGAUU